rnacentral:rRNA from 9 species
GGUCAAGCGAACAAGUGCAUGU